rnacentral:rRNA from 1 species
AACGAACGCUGGCGGCAGGCCUAACACAUGCAAGUCGAACGAGAAGCCACCUUCGGGUGGUGGACAGUGGCAGACGGGUGAGUAACGCGUGGGAACGUGCCUUUCGGUUCGGAAUAACCCAGGGAAACUUGGGCUAAUACCGGAUACGCCCUUACGGGGAAAGAUUUAUCGCUGAUGGAGCGGCCCGCGUCUGAUUAGCUUGUUGGUGAGGUAACGGCUCACCAAGGCGACGAUCAGUAGCUGGUCUGAGAGGAUGAUCAGCCUCACUGGGACUGAGACACGGCCCAGACUCCUACGGGUGGCAG